GGUUAGAGCUGUGACGUCAGCAGGGACUCGCUCGACAGGAGACGUUUGAAGCAGACGAACUGGACGUGCGGCUCAUUUCCCUGGAAUUUGUUUCUCAGAGGAACAACAUGGCUGAAACACACAGGAAGAAAUGGGUUUUCCCUCAAAGACCGGCGACUGAAGGAAACAGAGGCUCGGAGAGAGACGCUCACAGAAGUCUGGCGGUUCCCUUCAGAGGUCACAUCAGCGGUGGGAUGUGUCCGGGGAAGAAGGUGGUGCUAGUGGGCGUGGUCGCAUCCCGUCCUGACAGGUGAAAACAAUUUCCUGUUACAUUACGUUUUCUUUCCUCCUCCGCUCAGGAUCGAUCAUAUCGAUAAUCUUUCCUUUUUAUUUUUGUCUUUGCAUUCCUCCAAAUGAACUCAAACUAGGAUCAAUA